rnacentral:rRNA from 1 species
AUUGAACGCUGGCGGCAGGCCUAACACAUGCAAGUCGAACGAGUGGCGGACGGGUGAGUAAUGUCUGGGAAACUGCCUGAUGGAGGGGGAUAAAUACUGGAAACGGUAGCUAAUACCGCAUACCAGCGGAUGUGCCCACAUGGGAUUAGCUAGUAGGUGGGGGAAAGGCGCACCUAGGCGACGAGCCCUAGCUGGUCUGAGAUGAUAACCAGCCACACGUGAACUUAUCGACGGUCCAGACUCCUACGGUAGGCAGCAGUGGGGAAUAUUGCACAAUGGGCGCAAUCCGGAUGCAGCCAUGCCGCGUGUAUGAAGAAGGCCGUCGGGUUUUAAAGUACUUUCAGCGGGGAGGCGUUACCCGCAGAAGAAGCACCGGCUAACUCCGUGCCAGCCGCCGCGGUAAUUC